GACGAACGCUGGCGGCGUGCUUAACACAUGCAAGUCGAACGGAAAGGCCCUGCUUUUGUGGGGUGCUCGAGUGGCGAACGGGUGAGUAACACGUGAGUAACCUGCCCUUGACUUUGGGAUAACUUCAGGAAACUGGGGCUAAUACCGGAUAGGAGCUCCUGCUGCAUGGUGGGGGUUGGAAAGUUUCGGCGGUUGGGGAUGGACUCGCGGCUUAUCAGCUUGUUGGUGGGGUAGUGGCUUACCAAGGCUUUGACGGGUAGCCGGCCUGAGAGGGUGACCGGCAACAUUGGGACUGAGAUACGGCACAGACUCCUACGGGAGGAAGCAGUGGGGAAUAUCGCACAAUGGGCGGAAGCCUGAUGCAGCAACGCCGCGUGCGGGAUGACGGCCUUCGGGUUGUAAACCGCUUUCGCCUGUGACGAAGCGUGAGUGACGGUAAUGGGUAAAGAAGCACCGGCUAACUACGUG
rnacentral:rRNA from 1 species